rnacentral:rRNA from 1 species
UACUCAUGAUGAACGCUACCUACAGGCUUAACACAUGAAACUCUAGGGGCAGAUUGUUGUGUGCUUGCAAACAAUGAUGGCAACCGGCACACGGGUGAGUAAAGCAUAUCCAACCUGCCCCGCAUUAGGGAACAGCCCGGCGAAAGUCGGAUUAAUGCCCUAUGUCUUCCUUUGCAGGCAUCCAAUGAAGAAGAAACAUUUAUCUCUGCGGGAUGGGGAUGCGUCUGAUUAACUUGUCGGCGGGGUAACGGCCCACCGAGGCUACUAUCAGUAGGGGUUCUGAUAGGAAGGUCCCCCACACUGGUACUGAGACACGGACCACACUCCUACGGGAGGCAGCAGUGAGGAAUAUUGGUCAAUGGGCGAGAGCNUGAACCAGCCAAGUAGCGUGCAGGACGACUGCCCUAUGGGUUGUAAACUGCUUUUAUGCGGGGAUAGACUUCAGCACGUGUGCUGUUUUGCAGGUACCGCAUGAAUAAGGACCGGCUAAUUCCGUGCCAGCAGCCGCGGUAAUACGGAAGGUCCGGGCGUUAUCCGGAUUUAUUGGGUUUAAAGGGAGCGCAGGCGGGUUGUUAAGCGUGACGUGAAAUGUAGGGGCUCAACCUUUGAAUUGCGUCGCGAACUGGCGACCUUGAGUGGGUACGACGCGGACGGAAUUCGUGGUGUAGCGGUGAAAUGCUUAGAUAUCACGAAGAACUCCGAUUGCGAAGGCAGUCCGCGAGUCCCCAACUGACGCUAAAGCUCGAAAGUGCGGGUAUCGAACA